GACGAACGCUGGCGGCGUGCCUAAUACAUGCAAGUCGAACGCACAGUUUAUACCGUAGCUUGCUACACCAUAGACUGUGAGUUGCGAACGGGUGAGUAACGCGUAGGUAACCUGCCUGGUAGCGGGGGAUAACUAUUGGAAACGAUAGCUAAUACCGCAUAAUAUUAAUUAUUGCAUGAUAAUUAAUUGAAAGGUGCAAUUGCACCACUACCAGAUGGACCUGCGUUGUAUUAGCUAGUAGGUGAGGUAACGGCUCACCUAGGCGACGAUACAUAGCCGACCUGAGAGGGUGAUCGGCCACACUGGGAGUGAGACACGGCCCAGACUCCUACGGGAGGCAGCAGUAGGGAAUCUUCGGCAAUGGACGAAAGUCUGACCGAGCAACGCCGCGUGAGUGAAGAAGGUUUUCGGAUCGUAAAGCUCUGUUGUAAGAGAAGAACGGGUGUGAGAGUGGAAAGUUCACACUGUGACGGUAUCUUACCAGAAAGGGACGGCUAACUACGUG
rnacentral:rRNA from 1 species